rnacentral:lncRNA from 7 species
GCGUGUUUGGAAGUUAUGGCCGCGCGGGUCUGUGGUGUUCUCCCUGAAAGGCCUAAGCUUUGGGUGAUGGCAUUGCCUUUUGGCACUCGGGAGACAAGAUGCAGGUUCCGUCUCAGAAGUAAUGGCUGGAUCCCUGAAAGCCAACGGGCUCGGUGUGGUCCACCCGUCAGAAGGCAUAGGUAGAUGGUGGGCAUCUGCCUCAGACAUAGUUCUCAAGUUCAGCCAGAAGAAUGCGCGUUGAGCCCUCUGCAGCCCGUGUCGACGGAGGUGUUGUCUCCAGGAAGCAUCAUGGAAAGGCGUGGUGGUGCACAAGGGCCUUCAGGAUGCCUGCGCCUGGUGACGGCUGCGCCUCAGGUUCUGGGCCUGACUCGGAAGGGUGCCUGUGAGCAGAAGAGCUGGCACGCGCAGCUCAGUGGACCAUCAGUGCCAACCCGUCCUGUACCCUGGCUGAGGGGUGUGCUAAGUGGCAGAUUCCCGGUUGGCUCAUCGUAAGGCGUGGCACAAAAUCACCAUCGAAAGAAAGGGCCUUCGGGAUGCCUCUAUCUGGUUCUUUCCUUGUUUCUAGGUUAUUGCCCUGUAGUGCCAGAGAGAACCACAUAGCCUGCUGCUGCUCCUGCCUUUAAUUUCCCAAAGAGUCAUCAGACGACCUUGGAGUUUGUUCUGCAAGAGGAGCCAGUAAGGCCUCGUGACUGUGGUCACCCUCGGAAGCCUUUGACAGCUAGCUGGUGAGGGCGCUCAGUCGGAGGCCCUGGGGAGGCCCCUGCUAAGCCGAGAAAAGCAUUUCUCACAGUGGAUUUCCUGGAAGUCAGGGUUGGCCUUUGUAUUUUGAAGCACAAAUAAACUUUAUAAAAUUUAAC